UACGUAGGGUGCAAGCGUUGUCCGGAAUUAUUGGGCGUAAAGAGCUCGUAGGCGGUGUGUCGCGUCGGCCGUGAAAACCUGCAGCUUAACUGUGGGCUUGCGGUCGAUACGGGCAUCACUGGAGUUCAGCAGGGGAGACUGGAAUUCCUGGUGUAGCGGUGAAAUGCGCAGAUAUCAGGAGGAACACCGGUGGCGAAGGCGGCCUUCUGGACAGUGACUGACGCUGAGACGCGAAAGCGUGGGGAGCAAACAGG
rnacentral:rRNA from 1 species